AUGGGAUUGCUCCCUGCUCCAUGAUUGGCAUCUCUUACUUGAGUGAAUUAUGGUACUGGUCUGGAUGCUGAGGUGGAUGUUUUCUUUGACUUUUAAGGGGAUGUUUUGUUAUUGCAAAUCAGGAACUGGUCUGAUUAAGGCCUGGCCAAUUCCAGCCAUGUGUGGGGACACAAAUCCCUUCCCCUUCUAAGAGCUCCUACUCUGGAAGGAGGUGGUGGGAACAUCCUACAGGAAGCAGAGAAACAGAUUCUGAGCUGCUUCUGUGGCACAAGGCCUUUGCCAGCACACCCCCAUUGUUUUGGAGCAAGGUUUAAUAUAAGAACAAGGGGAAGCUCCCCUCUGAUCCCAGGCCUUCCUCCUCAUGUGGACAGUACUUAAACCAUGGCAACCCCAUCUAAUCAGUGCAACACCCAUCGAAUUUGUAGCCAGAUUUGUUUCUCUUCUGUUGCCUUUGCUGUGUCACCUCCAGAACUGACCCUGUGGUGUUCUGGGACAGGCCAGCUUUACCCAGAUCUACCCCUGGGCUAAGACUCUGUGUGGAUCCUUUUUGGACAGCUCAGAGAGCAGAAAAGGCCACAAUCUGCUAUUGUCUUCCUGCACCCCAGCUCAAGCCAGAGGAAUCCUCGUCAAGACCUAGGAGAGAACCCAGCCAACUUCACAGCAGUAGUGGGGAUGUGCCAUGAAAUGCAAGGAGAGCAGCAACACCUGCUGCAGGAGCAGCCUGCCAUGAGAUCUGUGCUUCUCCUGGAAUCACAGCCAGCACAGGAGAUUACAGGUAAGUUACACUGAUCUAUGAGCUGGCUCUUUUUUUGUCUGGUGCAAGUGGAAAUCUGAGAUUUUAGGUUACAACAGGUCUCAGCUGCUGGUCCCUUCUUACCUGGAUGCCCAGUGAAAAGAAGGGUAGAACAGCAGUUUAUGAAAUUGGGCUACUCAAGCACUUCAGGCAGAACCCCCCUGUAAAGGAUUUCUGUUCCUAAAAAUCUGUUUUUGUAACCCAGAAAUUUGAUUGAAAAGAUUUCAUUGUGACACCAAGAGAUGUGGGAGAAAUGAACCAAUCAUACCUUCAAGCCUCCUGACUUUAAAAAGACAGAUUUUGAGUUUUUUAUAUCUUGCUGCUCCCAGACUAGAAGCAUUGCUGUCUUUUACAACAGAUUGCCACAAAUGGGAGUGAUACUUUGUUUUGUCAAGUUGAUUUACAGGCUUGGUGCAGAUCUCCCAGGAGAGAGACAGGGCUGGCAAAGCACAGACAAUUGCAGUGCUGAGAAGAACCUGCAGCUCCUCCAUCCUGCCAUGGCAGAACUACUCCCUUUUGUUUUCUAGAACCUGAGGACUGGGUCAAUAGUCCUGAACCAAUUCCCAGAUCUGCAUCCUGGGAUCAUGAGCCAGGUCUCAGUGCUGAGAGGCUGUUCCCCUGCAGGAAACAUCCUUGCAGCUGACCCAGAGCAGGUGCUUAAUAAUGCAGGACAGCCUUUUGUCAGUGCCAUUCUCACUCUCCAGGAAGAAAAGAGCUGUGCUGCAUUCCAGGACAUCAAUAAUUCAGCCAAAGGUUGGGUUUCCUCUGGGAGGCUUGGCUGGCCAGCAGGAACAAGAAAUGCUUUAUCAGGGCCCAGGUGGGCAAACAGGGUGACCCAGCAGGAGAGCAGCACUUGGGCCACAGGCCCAAAAGGAGAACAGGCAUGCUGGACUGCAGUUAGGGCAGCUGCCCUAAGCAUUCACAGCUUGGGGAAAAGCCCCUUCCCCCAAGAGAGUUGGCAGACACACUUCUGGGAUGUCAGGAGGGUCAGCAAGCAGUGCUGAGCUGGGGAGGGGGCUGCAGUAAAGGUACAGAUCAGACAGGCUGGGCCUGUGAUUAAAGGACAUCAGAGGUAGGCUUUAAAAUAGCCCAUGGUGAAAGCAUCAGCACCUUCCUCUCCUUAAGUCAGGGGAAUAAAACCCCAGCCCUGUGAUCUCUGGUAGGGUGGCUGCAGCCCCCUUGCAGAGGAUCUGGUGGCAGAGUUCAGGCCCUUGUACCUCUUGCAGGGUCCCCAUUUUAUCCAACUGGAUGUUACUUAUGACUUCCCACUUUAAAUUACAAAGAUCAAACCAGGGCCAGGAGAUUUAAAUGAGGAAUAGCCUCCUGUACCUGCCAGUAGAUUUAGACUGUGGGGUUUUUCAAAGCCUCCAAAUAGCUCAAAAUGCCCAAAACACAGUAACAUUUGCUCUUUUGGUGAUCCAAAGCACAACACAGCUGAGCAAGUCUGGCUCCCUCUUUGCACAAGGUUGCAGUAGGAAAGAAGCCACAGUCACUCAGCAGCUGAAAACUACCUGAUUUUGAGCAACUCUGGACCAGAUAGAGAGUCUGCUCCAAGUAUUUGGUCACCAGGAGUCAGGAAAACCAGGCUGGGAGCCAAGUGAAACUAUGCUAAAGGACAGAAGGAAGCUAUUAACAGGGACAGCUUGGUUAACUCAUGAGCACAGCAUUUAGGAGAGGAAAAACAUUGUGGUAGUGGGCUGACCUUGGCUGGAUGUGAGGUGCCACCAAAUCUUUCUAUCAUUUCUCUCCUCAGCAGAACAAGGGGGUUGAAAAUAAGAUUGGAAAUAUUUCAAGAUAAAGGCAGAUUAUCAAGAAAAAGUUGUGUGUGGAAGCAAAAGAAACCAAAAGAUUUUUCUUGUCUUCUUCCCAUCUGCAAGUGAUGUGAGACCACUCCUGGGAAGCUGGGCCUCAGUACAUGUCAUGGUUACUCCAAAAGACAAAAGUGAUCUAUAAAAUGUCCCACCUCCUCCUCUCUCUCAGGUUUUAUUGCUGAGCAAUGUCCUGUGGUAUGGAAUAUCCCUUUGGGCAGCUUGGGUCAGCUGUCCUGGCUGUGUCCCUACCAAGACCUUGUCCUUGCCUUGGGUCCCCUUCUGCUGUCUCAACUUUUAAAGUAUGAACACUAAUAAGGUCAGCAAGCAGAGGGUUUAUUUUAUCUGCUAAUGAUAAAAAUCUAUUUUAUCACCAGAGUUCAGGGAGCUGGGGGAGUCUGUCUGUCUGCAGGGGCUUCAAGCUAGAGUACAUCAGCCUCUAGAUGUUUUACUAAUGACAUUAGUGGGGGAUAAGCACCCAAAAGCUGUAUUCACACUUGGGUAUCUUCACCCAGAGCCUGUUUACAUCAGAACUGACAAAAGACAGACACCUACAGUUAUUUCCAGACCUCUCUGGAAGAGCUUGGCUCACAGCCUAUCUCAAACAGAGACAUCCAAUGUGUGGCCACACAGCUUCCACUGGCCAAGGUUUGGGAUCAGACCCACUCACUGAUAACUGGAAGGUGCACCUGAUCAAAGAGAGAGGCCCUUCUUCAAGUGAGGAUGAAGAGUGACCUGUUAGGAGUGUCUGCAGGUGCUGCAUCCCCUCAGAGUACUGAUCUGAUGGCUGCAGGUGCCAGUGCAAGUGUCCAUACAGGCCAUGCUCAGGUGAAUGCUGAAUCCUACACAAGCUCUCGCCUACCCAAGCUUAGAAGCUCAUUCCCCACUCCCAGGGUACCAGAGCUGUCCACUGUUUUCCCACCCCAACUGUGUUCUCUGCUUUUCUGGAGGAGUCCUGUCACUGAAGCCUGAGCAAGGAACAGCCACGUAAAGGAGGCAGUGGGUUUGAGCUGUUUUAACUGGGGUUCUUUUGUCACGAGGAGCCUAGUCCAAAAUCAUUCUUCCAGCACCUACACAGGGUUAUAUUUGACGGGUUUCAAACCAGCUCCUGCCCUGAGCCAGCCCAGAGGUGCUGUGCUGACCAUGCCCUGUCUCCUUUCCCUUCCUUUAGGCUGAGCCCUAAUUCCAGUUCAAGUGAAGCUCCUCUGUGUUGGUCAGACAGCUCUGCCAGCCAGCAGGAGCUAAUGCUGCCUGAGUGGAACAGCACAAAAUGGCCAGUCCAUUUAUCUCCCAGUUGCUGCAGUUCCAGUAAAACAUCACUUUGUUAAAUGCCUGGAGCUGGAGGAAGCAGCUCCAAAUGCUACAGAAAAGAGCUUUUUCUAGACAGCUUAUUCCCACCCUAGAAGAUUUGCACUGCUAAAGAGUGCUACAAACACAGCCCUUACUGCCCACAGCAGACCUCAGCUGUCACUGCUGGAUCUGGGGGAGAUGGGGCAGGGCUCACCCACACCAGGGCUCUGUGGGCACCCAAAAACUCUGAAUUCCUCCAGUACUGACCCCUCAUGAGGUGGUUUUCAGCCUCAGAGAUCUCUUUCCUUCCAGUUCCCUCUCCUUACACACCUGCUUGCUGUCCACAAGUACCAGUGCUCAUUUGGUUUCAAUAAAUUACUACUGUAAUUAGGCAUAUGAAUAUUCAUGUACGAGACAGUGGAGUAGGUGUAGCAGGCAGAAGCCACGAUUUAUAAACGCCUCCUUGCUCUGGAAUCACUGUGUGCAGACACUGUUCCCAGGCCUGUCUCCUUCCUACGCCUUGGAGCUAAAAAACAUUUAUCAGAGACUUACAAUAAAGCUUCUAAACAUAAGAUUUCUUCCCAGCAUUUCUUCUGCAUCCAAGGUCAUUUGCACAAGAACAGCAUCUUUAGGCUUCCCAUCUGCUCCCUAUUUUGCACCUGUAGUUAAUAUCUCCCUUUUUCAUAACAUAUGACUCACUGGCAUGGUUACAGGAGGUGAUAUCUGCUUACAGGAGACCAGUCCUCAACAGAGCCAGAAUUACUCCACUGCACAGAAGGUCUGGAACGAGCCAGCUCUGCUCUGUUUGUUUACCAGCCCCCACACAAUAGGCAGAGUAAGAAGCCCAGUCCCGGAGUCACCAGUUGGACCUCACUUUCCAGGCAGGAUCCCAAGCGGUUCUGACCUGCCUCUCCCCUCUCCUGGCCAAACAAGAGCAGUUUUCCAGUCAUGCCCAAGAAAUGAAUACACUCAGCGGCUCCAUCUCACCACCUGCUGCACUUCUGCUGCUCAUGUGUACCCAAAUUUCUUCAUAGCUCCAGGGGAGUUACUUUAUCCCCAGAAGCUCCUGAUCUCAAGUUUUUGAAUA